GCGAAGAAAAAUAAAAUGAGACUAAAGUCUGGCGCAAUGCACUUCAAUGAUUCUGAACAAAAGGACAUGAGUGUGCUGUGUCGCAGUAUCGAUCUGAACUUUACAGGUUUCAAAUUCAGGUUCUGAUCCUAAGAGUUCAAUUGAAGAAGCAUUAGAAAACGAUUACGGUCCCAGAAAGUCUGCUCUUAUAUCCAAACAACUACUAAACAACUGAUUCAAGCGAGCAUCCGGUUGACUGAAACGGAAGCUUCUAUUAGUUUUUGGUGUCCCACGAGCGAUAUUGAGCGGGUUGGACAGCAUCAGUUGGGUGCAAUGCAAUCUAAAAUUUUCUGUAAUCAUAAUUUUGCUUCAUGGACUUUAUUUGAAGAUUACAACGAUUUUAAUUCAUGAAAGAUCGCAGAGUUGGAAGAUGGUUGGAUGAUAAAUUUUGCUGCAUCUUAAAGUUGUGCCAGAAUGAUCACAUUGUUAUAAACCAACCUUACAGACGAAUGCAGAAUUUAUUAAUAUUUAAUGAACGACCCAUUGUUGUUUGAUAACGCGAGUGACUAUAAAAGCAGCCGGAAUGCACAUUACUGGCACAAACAUUGCAAGACAGUAUCACUUACAGGACUGAAAAAAAUGAGCUGGAACAUAUCAUGGAUUCCAGCGAUUCUCGUGCUACUCGCUGCGGUUUUGGAGGCGCGGGUUCCAACUGGCUGUGUAAAGCUGCAAAGUGCCAACAGCAAUGAAUAUCUCACGGUACAGUCUCUGUAUAACAGCAACCGCAGGAUUGUGAAAACCACAAAUAAGAUUGCCUAUUGGAACAUCACAAACUACGAGGGUGGAUUUUAUCGUGUGUGGAAUAUAUAUCAAAUGGAGUUUCUAUAUGCCGCUGCCGCUAAUUAUGCCCUGGAUAACCAAAGACGCCGCGUAUUUACAUGGGUCGGAGGCACUGUUGCCGAUAACGGUAUAUGGGACAUUCAAGAGCUAGAAUGUGGAACAUACUUGCUCAGGAAUCGUUAUUUCAACGAAUACCUGAUGACUGAUAAUUAUCCAGUUGGUGGUUCUAUUUAUACUGCACGUCAAGUAAAGCAAUACACCGGUCAAGAGCAAUUCCAGUGGUUAAUUUCCAAGUGUUAUUAGUGAAAUAUAAAAGGCUUUUUAUAAGCAGUAACCCGCA